rnacentral:lncRNA from 1 species
UUUCAGCAUCAGCUAGCUUUGCCAAAAACUCAUCUUCUUUCUUGUCGUCUCUCUCUGCCAUCUCAGACAAACCCCCCGUACCAGCUAACACUUCAUCAAAACACUCAGCAUCUCUCUAUAACCCGAAGAUCGCAUCAUUCCAUCGAUGAACUCUGCCUUCAUCUGCAACCCCUGAGUUGAAGUCUCCAUGUAGAUACCAAUCAGACCACAUCUUAUAAGCCUUUUCCAUUCCCCUAGUAACGAGAUGGUUAACUACCACACUUCCUGAGUGACGAUCUAUAUUACGGCAGUCAAUGCAAGGACAGAGAAUCAUAUCAAUCCCUCCCAAAGAUGCAGCCACAUCUCGUACGAACUUUGAAGCCAAUCUCUCAUAAGCAGGAUCAACUCUACGGUUAAGAAUCAAAAGGAAAAGCAAAUAAACAAGUUAAUUAAGUCUCAAAACACUUACUGAAAAGUAACAUAUAUGAUUGAAUUCAUCACCUGCUAAGAUGCACCCAUGCUUUGUCCACCAUUGUAUGUUCUAACCUGAAUUGAAACCUUUACUAACAUAAAGAACCAAUUCAAAGUAAAAUUAAUCAAAUUCAGAACACGUAGCUCAAAACAUAUCCGUAGAUGAUAACUCGAUAUAUAUACACCUCAA